rnacentral:misc_RNA from 1 species
CCACCGCACUUGCCACUUGCCGCUCAGGCUUCGGGCGAGGUGUACGUGUUGCGUGUUUCUCUCCCGUUGUUUCAAAUGUAAACACUGAGAGAGAGAAGAUAAUUCAUACCAGAUAUCAAGAUCCUCGCUAUUCGCAUUAUUAAAAUUGCUAAUUGUAUGUACGCGUAUAUAUUUUCCUUCGUUUUAUUUUUGUGCUAAAGAACUCAUCAAGGAAAAUCAUUGAGGUGUGUGUCGUCAGACGAAGUAAUAACCGCUCGUUAUAUCAGUGACUGACACUAGAUGAUAAUCGGUUAGAACGUAAUAAUUUGUUUUAGUGACAACUGGUAGAGGUGUAUCGAGUGAAUAUAGUGAUUUAUAUUGGAUUGACUACAUCGCAUAGAACACGUCGUAAUCUACCUGUACGGUCCACCAUGUACGUUGACCCAUAGAAUUUCGUUAAAACCACGAUGGGAAACAACAGCAGCUCCCAUCAUCACCAUGCUCAAGGUGGAGUUGCCCGCGAAAUGGGUCCUGGAUGGACCCAUUCUUUUCCAAGGGAUAUGCACAGGCAGCAUUUACAGUCUUCGGGUCACAAGGUCCUCCCCGAACCUCCCAAUCAAAGAUUACGAGCGACCAACAAUGGGAGUAUCAUCCAUAACGGUGGGACCAUCAGCGGACGGAGACCAUCCGCCUUGACGUUGCCGCAUGAUCUAAACAAGCAAGCUGCCUACCGCACCAGAAGCGCGUCUGCAUCGAAUUUCGGGCAACCCCGACCUCAAAACGGCGAUCCUCAAUAUUAUCGUCACCAGCACGGUGAUCCGAGAGAUAGGGAAAUCGCGGAAUUUAAAAGAUUCGGAAGCGAACCUGACCUCAGGUACUCUCCUACUGAACAGGGGAGAUACGAUCGACACCAAGGAUACACGGAAAGAGACGUUAAAGAACGGGACAGCAGAUACAGUAAAGGUAAGAAAAAAUACAAAGCACCCCCUCCGCCGAAUAGAGAUGGCUCAUCACCGGAUUCCUACAACUGGUCAGGUGGCCACGAUGGAGAUGCGACGAGGCCUUCCGAAGAUAUUCGACCACCACCUAGAAAAUCAAGACUUUUCAAGACCCGCGCUGAGACAAAGAGGGCUCAGUCUAACUGGACGUCGCUUCAAGAGAGAGAAACUGAUAGCAAAAGAUGGGAUGACGUACAAUCGAGUAAAGAAAAUCUUGUCUGGAGGCAGCAACAAGAACGCUGGAAUAAGGAUGAGAGAAGACCGAAAAUGUUCGAUGGAAAGAAUACCCUCCAACGUAGCUUGAGCAGUCCUGAGUUCCAAGCUGAAUUAAUGAAAGCUGCGAGGAAAGUCAGAAGCAAAAUGAAUCAUCAACGAGAAGGUCCAGUGGGUGAAGCUGCUCCUAUAAAUCACAGGGAAUAUCCAACAUCGAAUCAAGGGGAAUUCAUUGAUGAUCGAAGAAUCGAUGACGCGACCACCAAACAUCGCGAAGACCGAUUUUUCGACGAACGGAGAACAGAGAAUAAAAAUGCUAGAAAUCAGGAAAUUUCAUACGAUCACAGAAGAACGGAACAAUCUGAUCUUCGGUAUCAGAAGGAAUCUUCAAAUGAUCGUCAAACUGACAGGAACUCUCGGCAGAGAGCAUUCAAAAAAUCGGCAACUUAUGAUGUUGAAGUAGAUGUGGGGCAACGUCUGGCUGAGAAAAAGUUACUCAUGGAAAGAAUUGAAAAGCAAGGACAAUCCUUUGAUGAUCGACUAUCCGAUAAACAGAAACUCGACUAUUCGGAAGAAAGGAGGACUGAUCAACAAAGACAUAACGACCGGUUAAAGGGCAAAGCCCUAGAGGACUUUGUGGAGAUGGGAAAACGGAUCGACUCGAGAACGAGAUCGGAAAGUCCGAUGCGACAGUAUAGGGACAAAAAUAAUGAUCGGAGAAGUCAGGGCUCUGGUAGGGAGAGUACCCCAGAACCAACUAAAACUAAAGAUCCUGGCAAUUUCGACUUGCGUAAUAACAUUAAAACUGGAAUCCGAAGCAACGGCUAUAGUUACAACGAAAACAGACGUUCGGAACCUAUUCCAAAGAUAGAUAUGAAGGAGUCGAAAAGCAAGGAAAAGCUAUCAAGAAAACCAGACGUCAGAGCGCCUCCGGUAAAAAAUUGGGAAAUAUUACCGCCAGCUGGAAAAUCACCCCCAAAAACAUUUUAUUUCGGAAUGGAUCUUACGACGUCAAGAGAUCCGCAAGAUUUAAUGGACCAUCAAAUGCAACAGAUUCAAUCUAGACUCAAUCAUAUCAGAGAGCCCAGCAGUUCACCUGAAACUUCACCUGGGGAAAUGGAUGACGAUAAGCCACUACACACGGGAGACGACAUCGCUCUCAAAUUGAGGCCUACACUUCCGAAAAAACAAUUGGAAAUUCCCAGAUUUUCUCCAUCGGCUGCCUGGAGAUUACUAUCCGCGUUAGAUACACCAUAUCCAAGUAUGAGUACUGCAAGUGAAGAGGGGCCAGUUCUGUUUGAAGAACGUAUAGAACGUUUAUCCAGACCGCCCCCACCCCUAGUGGCACUUGGGCCACGUAGCUCGCACGAUAAAUCCGGUGACUCUGGAAUAUCGGGUGAUGCAGGAGCUGUUAACGACGAUUCGUUGGAUAUAAUUACAAAUCGGGCAAAAGGUUCAAUCAGACCAACUUGGACACCCCAACAAGACCUAGGCGAAGAGUCUAGCAGUGAUGCAGGUGUCGAUUCUCCACCACCCAUGGCAACGCCAGUUAAAUUCCCUCCAAGACCCCACGUUUUUUCGCUCUCGCUACCAAGAGAUGAUAACAGAAUGUCUCUAUACAAUCCGGAAUACAAAAUCAAGGAAUCUUCUUUUAACUCGCUGCAAAAAUUAAAGAGAUCCGUCUCGGGGGCCCUGGGAUUGGGGGCUCUAGACGUUGACAGAAAACAAGACAGUGAUGUUUUAGAUGGAAACUGGCUUUUAUCGACGAGUGCUCCAAACUCUUUGCAACAUAGUCAACCUAAUGGAGAAGGAACUGGCACACCAUCUCCGGGAUGGGAGACAAAUUUUGUAGAGAAUGAAGAUGAAGGAAAGCCUGACUUUCCCAUAAUCAUGAAACCACCCUCAUUUUCCUAUUUGGCAUCAGGUGGACACGUCAUGUAUUUACCUGAAUCCAACGGUACCGUUUAUCAAACGCAGAGUCUCAAUUAUCGUAAUACCAGUUCCGAAGACAAAAAUUCAAAUAAUUCCAAUUCAAGAUAUAAAAAGAGUUCAACCGAGUCUAAGAAAGUUUGUAGAUAUCCCAAUUCAGAUGCUCAAAAAUAUCCCAAAGAAUCGAAAGAAUUCGGACUCUUCAGAGACCGGCGCUUCACCGAUGGGGGUUUAAGGUCCAGAAAAUUUUCUAACUUCUCAAAGUCAUGUGAAAACAUUUCUGAAAUGAAACAGAGAGAACGGUCGCCAUCGCCUGGGCCAGAAAAUUUACAAGAUGUUAAAGACAGUUCAUCAGAUUUGAAAGUCACGGCCAAACGAAGCUCCAAAAGUAAACGAUUUACAUUCCAAUCAACCGUACGACAGAUAGAAAGACGCCGAUUGGCAGAAAAAUUAUCCCGGGAAGCCGAGGCUAAAGAGCAACAGAGAAAAGGAGAAUUGGAAGCCAUGAGGAAAGUUGAGGAAGAAUUUCAGAAAAAACGUGCCAGGGAAAAAGCGAACAUCAGGCAACAAUUGAGACUAUUCAAUCUGGAUGAAACUACUGGAAGUUUACCAGUUGUGUGGGACAGCGCAUCUUUAUCUCGCGCAGAACCUGAUGGUGCUCCGUCCUCAUCAGCAUCAUCCCCAACUUCAGCACCUCAGAGUAAAUUAACGGCAACCAGAAAAAAUAGUGGUAGCAGCGACGAAUAUAAUCGUAAGGCUCAAGUUUCUGCCCACGUACCCACUGAGUAUCGUCAUCAGCAACAACAACGAGAGUACAAAGACUAUAGGUCAAGGUAUUAUGAUUGUGGACCUGAAAGUGCGCCGCACAUCGAGUUUAAGCAGACUACAGUUCACCCUAAAGUGGUCUACGAUAUUCCCAAGAGCGCACCUGUCUAUGUCGAUGCAAAGAUUCAUCCUAACAAAUCAGUAAAUCUUAAUUCCACGCCAAGGUCAGACAACUAUAGGAAAGAUUUUGCACACGGUGCUGUAGCAGCAAGAUCGUCGCUGGCAAGCAGCGAUAGUGAGUUAUCUCAACCAAAUACGAGGCCGCAUUCUCGACAAACGGCGAAUAAAGUCAGAAUUCAUCGAUCUAGGUUUUAAGGUGGGCGUAAAGUAAGUAGUCUUAACACCUCUAGUCAUCUAACAACGCUUCAUUAAAACAAAUACAAUCAACCGCUUCUAACUACGCCUUGGGUUGGGUGUAGUUCACCAGGGUAACACAUAGGUCGGCGAGCCCAGCUAGAAGCCACGAGGAUGCCAGCUCAGAGGAAGAAUGUCCCGUCGAACCAAUAACGCGUGAACGAAUACCUGC